UUUUCUUCUUUACACUUACUAGACUGAUUGGAAAUACCACCAGUGUUGACAUCCUCAGUUUCAAUGAGCAAAGAAUAACUCUCAUUCUUUAAAAGAGGAAUGUCCAACUUGCUCAGCAUGCCAACUCCAGAGACAAAGAUGUGAAUUUGAACAGCAACUUUGAGCACACAGGAGAAGAGGUUUUAAAGGAAACCACCUUGCAAGAUGUCUAGCCCACGGUACAUACUCGCAUGAAGUUCCUGAUGCUCUCAACACCCAGCCUCCUCUGAAGAACCCACCUCUGGGAGUCCUCACGCUGUGCUGUGCCACCUUCCAGCCCUUUACACACACCAUUCUUUCCCCUUUAAUUCCAGCCCUGGGGAGAAACUCCAGUGUCCUCCAGGCUCAGUUCACAAGUUUUCUCCAAUGCAAAGCUACUCCGGGACCCCUUCAUUCCUAAAAUGGGCAGUUAGCCUCUGAUCUGUGGGGGCAAAGGACCCUGAGCAUUUGUCAUAUUACAUUAAAAAGAUCUUUGCAUGACCUUCUGCACGAGCCUGGCAGCUAUUAGAAGGAAGGCACUAUGUCUUAAUCAUCUUUGUAUUUUUAAGUGCCCCAUACAAGAUUUGGCAAAUGGUAUGUGUUUCAUAACUUUUUGUGAAUUAAUGAAUGACUUAGUAAAGCAAUGAUAACAAAUGCUGAGAAAUUUAUUUCAGACUGUGUUAAUUCUUAUAGAUAUAAAAGUCUUAUAUUCUGAACUCUAGCCGCAUUUCAGUGCCCUGACCAUAAAAACGUAUGGUAGAAAAAUUUGAUGUGUGUUCUCAUUUUUUCAGAUUAAACAUAUAAUUAAUAAAACAUUAUAGAAUCCAUAUGAAUAAGAAAUCCAGUUAUCAGUACUCCAAUAGCUAAAAUAAUGUAUUUUCUUCUCAACUUUAAAGCAAUAACAUUCAGAAUACUAGAUUUGUCUAAAUGAUAAAACAGAAAGUAAACUUCCUUUGACAUGUAAAAUCUUCACCAACUAUGCCUUUUAUAUAUUUCUUGAAUUUUAGCUGAAAUAAUUUAUUUCAAUCUGUAACUGCUGGCCCCUAAAAUCAUAUCACACCACUACUAUAAAAAAUUGUACUAGUGACAUUCACUUGUUUUUACUGCCCACUAUAAAGCAGCUAAAGGAGAUGUAUAGAGAAAUGUUUUGCCUUGCAAAAGUGGUUUCGGCUGCCUGAGUUUCAGGCUGGAUCAAAGACUGUCAUGAAACAAACUCAAAAGCUGAAUAAAGUAACCUGUCUAAGAAAACAUGCAAGAAGGGAUAAAUACAUACAGGUAAAUUAAUGUUACUGGAGAAACCCCAUAUCAAAAUACAUAAAUUAUUCAGAAAAUAUAAGAGCCUUUCAGAGCAACAUAUGAACAUCCAGAAGUCUGAAUAAAUGACAACAAAUUUUACUAUUUGGUUGGUUUUUCUUUCAAAGCUUUAACAUUUUAUACUUAAAACCUACUUUCAAAAGGCUGCCAAUUUUCCCCCCAAAAGAUCACCAAAAUAAUUCUGAAGAAAUGAAUACACAAAGAAAUGUACACAAUGUCCACAGAAAUAGGCAAUGAGAGAUAAGGACCAGA